rnacentral:sRNA from 1 species
UUGAACGGACGUGUUGAAGUGUCGCUAGGUUUCGGUGGUGCAGCAGCGUUUGUGCAUUCGCAUUCGCAGUCGCAAAUUCGCAUCGCCUCGUCGCUUGUGCAGCAGGAUUUCAACUGCAGGCAAUUCCAAUUUUACACGUAAAUUCAGAAACGAGGAAGCACGGAAUCGAAACCGCUUGGAAAACAGUUAUUCCCUACAUUUUUCAAACUAAAAGAACUGCAGCGGAUGAAGUGCAAAAAGCGGAAAGUGCUAAAAGUUUGCGGCAUUGAACACUUUUAAUUAUUAUUUACGUUUUGUUUGUGUUUCGUCGAGCAAAACCAAUGCACAAACUAACUGUCCAGUGUGCAUGUGUGUGUCAAGUGUGCGUGUGUGCGUCGUGAGUGUUGCAAAACGGCUGUUCGCCCAGUGAUUCAAAGCCAAAUGUCACUGUGAAAAUGUCUCAACGAGCAAAUUUUAGGAACGUCAAGAAAAACAUUCAACGAUCACAAAACCGGCGAAUGCUGCAAAAUGCGAAUCAAGAACAUUUAACCAUCUAAAUAAAUGAAUUCAAUUUAAUUGAAACAAAUUUCGCGGAAAUGCAACAAAUCAACUUAAAAAUGAACUGAACAACAUAAACAUUUCGAAAAACAACGCAAAAUUCUAAAAUUGGCAACAUAAGUUUUGGUCUUGAAUUAAACGCAACAAAAAUAUAAAUCAACAAAAAACGAUUUUUGGCAACAAAACAGCAUAAUAACAUACACAAAUUGUAAUUAUCUCAAAACGUCCACACGUGAAAAUGUUUUGCAAC